AUUGAACGCUGGCGGCAGGCCUAACACAUGCAAGUCGAGCGGAUGAAGGGGGCUUGCUCCUGGAUUCAGCGGCGGACGGGUGAGUAAUGCCUAGGAAUCUGCCUGGUAGUGGGGGAUAACGUCCGGAAACGGGCGCUAAUACCGCAUACGUCCUGAGGGAGAAAGUGGGGGAUCUUCGGACCUCACGCUAUCAGAUGAGCCUAGGUCGGAUUAGCUAGUUGGUGGGGCAAAGGCCUACCAAGGCGACGAUCCGUAACUGGUCUGAGAGGAUGAUCAGUCACACUGGAACUGAGACACGGUCCAGACUCCUACGGGAGGCAGCAGUGGGGAAUAUUGGACAAUGGGCGAAAGCCUGAUCCAGCCAUGCCGCGUGUGUGAAGAAGGUCUUCGGAUUGUAAAGCACUUUAAGUUGGGAGGAAGGGCAGUAAGUUAAUACCUUGCUGUUUUGACGUUACCAACAGAAUAAGCACCGGCUAACUUCGUG
rnacentral:rRNA from 1 species